CCCGCCUGGGCGAGCCGGCCGAGACAUGGGCGCUGGGCAAGCCGGCUGGGGUAAACUCCCCACAAACUGGCAGGGACGUAGGAGCCUGACGAUCUGGCUAAGGCAUGAACGUCUGUCGAUCUCGCUGCGCGUGGAAGCACGAAGAUCCGGUGGAGCAUGACGUGGGAUGGGAACCUGACGAGCCAACCGAGGCAAGGAAACCUCGAGCCAGCUAGGACGUGGAAGCCCGACGAGCUGGCUUGGGCACCCUCGGUUCCAUCGGUGGCGGAAUCCAAGCCCGACGUCACCAACAAAACAACAAAACUUCUGGGCCGGCUGGGCAAACAAGACCUGACGAUCCGGCUGAGGCCCGACUUGGGAUGGGCGCCUUCCGAGCCAACCGGGGAAAGGAAACCUCUCGAGCUGGCUAGGCACCCCCGGUUCCAUCGGCAGCGACCCAGGACCAAGGUCACCACCAACUGGAACGCCAGUACUCCCCGAUGCUUCGUGUGUUGGCUGCUGCAUUCUGUAAGGAAUGACGCUGGAGAAUAGAAGCAGGUACAGGGAGUUGACAUUUAAUUAGGAAUGGACAUGCAACAGGACAGGAACAGCGUCAGAACUGGGAAACACAAAGACAGACGACAAACAAUGCAGCAGUGGGGAACAGAGCUGGGGAACUGACAAAUAUAGGGGAGGUAAUAAACAGGAGAUUGAGUGAGUCCAGAAUUCUAAUGAUGACCCGCCUCAGUGUAGCCCUCCAUACUACAGUGCCAGUAUCUAUUCCACGCUGAGGGAGUGGGGAUACUGACUGUCAACUGUGAGAUGUGGACACGCCCCGACAGCCCCUCACCUACAGCAUUGUGGGAGGGAACACUAACCGCAGAUUUACCAUGGAUGGAGCACAGCUGGUGUCCAGUGCCCAGUUCUCCUAUGGCACCCCAUGGUUUAUGAGCUGCUGGUCAGGGUUCAGGACCAUGGCAUGUCUGUAUGCUCCACUACUGCUACUGUCAUUGCCAAUGUGGUUCCCUGGACCACAACUCGACCAACAUCCAUCACCACCACCACGAUCAAGAGCCUUUGGUAGGACCCCAUCCUUGAAACAUCCUGCAGAGCAGCAGUCUUCUCCUCUGGCACACGACGGCGAGCUGCAGAUCCCUUCCUGGUCCUCGUGUCCAUUCUUAUGAAGUUAUGAGGGACACAGGUAGCCUUCACACCCCUGAAUUCCUCCAGGAGGCAGUCCCAGGUGGCCCUGGUCACCCAACCUUGCAGUGCCCUACACGUUAACAGUGGGCAAUCGUUUUGAAGGAAUCUCCAAUUACAAGGUAUCUGUAGGAAUAUGGAAGACAAUGUAAUUAUUAGACUUUUACAUCACCAUGUCAUUGUGGAUUACUAAAGUAUAAUAUCCCUGAUAACAAAUCAUGAUAACAUUGGAUUGAUAGAUGCAUGGGCACACAUAUGUGCAUGUGACAAUAACAGGAUCAUAUCAAGGAUAGCACCAUAAAUUAAUACAUAAAUACCACUUGAAGCUUGAUGAUGAGUUGAUCAUUUGUAUCAGCUGUGCAGUACUAACGCAAAAACAAAAAUGUGCACCCCUUUGAGUCCCCAGGACCAGGACUGAGAACCACUGCUCUUCAUUGGGACCUCUUCAUAUGUAGACAGGCUUUCAUAGCUCUCUUUAUCUGAGGACAGAAAACCUCACAAGAAACAGACUUCAUUAAUGUCAAAUUACACUGCACUGAAUAUUAUAUUACUAUUAUCGCCGUCCUCACUUCUAGGGACAAGAACUACACAAAAGUACCUGCCCUAUCCAGAAUAGCCUACUCUCUCACUUUGACAGUUGGGGCUGCUAUCCUUUCAUCCUCCUCCAUGGCUGUUAGCUAGCUACCUACAAAUGCAUUUGGAGUUAGUUUUCUUACAGUGAUAAAUACAUCAAGAUAGCUAGCUAAUAUGAAGUUAGGUAGCUGAUGAUAUUUAAUUCACUUAGCUAGCUAUCUAUACAGUAUGUGAAGUUGGCUAGAUAGCUAGCUAGCCAACUAGUUAGCUCAUUUAGCAGCUUAUUUGAGUUAGCCUGCGCCUUAGCUAGUUAGCUAAUAAUACAUCUUUUUUUUACAUUUUCGAAAUAUAUUUACUUACUUGAAUAGGUUCUCCCAGCCAUGUGGAAAUUGGAAACAGGGCAGCAAAGUUUGUUUGUCAUCAGAGCGUUUUACAGGUUAUUACUAUUGAACUAUGUACCCAUGUAAUAACCAGACCGUCAUACA
rnacentral:lncRNA from 1 species